rnacentral:rRNA from 1 species
CGGCGACCGGCGCACGGGUGAGUAACACGUAUGCAACCUGCCCCUGUCAGGGGGACAACCCGCCGAAAGGCGGGCUAAACCCGCGUACAUGCCACCGGGGCAUCCCGGAGGCAGGAAAGGCUUCGGCCGGACAGGGAUGGGCAUGCGGCGCAUUAGGCAGUAGGCGGGGUAACGGCCCACCUAACCGACGAUGCGUAGGGGUUCUGAGAGGAAGGUCCCCCACACUGGUACUGAGACACGGACCAGACUCCUACGGAAGGCAGCAG